rnacentral:rRNA from 1 species
GAUCUGGUUCAGGAUGAACGCUAGCUACAGGCUUAACACAUGCAAGUCGAGGGGCAGCAUGAUCUGUGCUUGCACAGAUUGAUGGCGACCGGCGCACGGGUGAGUAACGCGUAUCCAACCUUCCCCUUAGUAGGGCAUAGCCCGGCGAAAGUCGGAUUAAUACCCUAUGUUUUUCCAAUGAGGACAUCUGAGCUGGAAUAAAGAUUCAUCGCUAAGGGAUGGGGAUGCGUCCGAUUAGGUUGUUGGCGGGGUAACGGCCCACCAAGCCCUCGAUCGGUAGGGGUUCUGAGAGGAAGGUCCCCCACACUGGUACUGAGACACGGACCAGACUCCUACGGGAGGCAGCAGUGAGGAAUAUUGGUCAAUGGGCGAGAGCCUGAACCAGCCAAGUAAGCGUGCAGGAUGACGGCCCUAUGGGUUGUAAACUGCUUUUAUACGGGGAUAAAGUGAGGGACGUGUCCCUUAUUGUAGGUACCGUAUGAAUAAGGACCGGCUAAUUCCGUGCCAGCAGCGGC